GUGCGGGUCAAUCUCUAGUAUUAAUUAGAACUUAAUCAGAUAGAUUCAGGUAGUCCUACUUUUAUUUAUUGGGUCACGCAGUUAAAUAUCAUAUGGUUGCUUUGUAGGUCCUUCGAAAAUUUCAAAAUUUUACAAGAACAAUAAAUCCGAAAAUUCAGACAUUUUUGUCUUUGCUUCCUUUUCAAUAUUUUGUUUUGUAAAUAUCGAGAAUAUAUGUUAUAUAUAUAAUUUUGAAAAUCAAUUACGAGCAACUGAAUUUAUUUGGUGGAUUAAAGUAAUCUAACAAUAAACUUGGUAUGCAAUGGAGUUAUUUUAAACUUGAUAAUUAUACAUGGUCUUUCUCCAUAAUUGAUGUUCUGGACUAGCAACGUUAUUACAUAAUAACCAUAGCGUUGGAUGAUAAAAUUUUUUUUAGAGAAGUGUAACAUAUAGAGUAUGACUGUAUCUCAAUUUUAGGGAUAAUAAUUCAGCGAGAAACAUUUUCCUCUCAGUUCUGCUGAUAUGUUUACCAGUUAGGUGAAACAAAAAAAUUAAUUAUAUUUUUAUUCAUUUACGCUAGUUACUGUUUAAAUAAAGAUUAAGGUAACCUUUUUAUUCCGUCGUCGUUUUGAAAAGGGAAAUUUUCGUUGCCACUAACUUUUAUUUUUGUUUUAUUAUCUUGUUUUUUUUACCAUUUUUCACCAAUUUACUCUACUUUUUUCACUAAUUUACUCCAUUAUCAUUACUCCAGUUUAUAUUCCAGUUUAUACUCCAGUUUACACCAAUUUUUACCAGUCACUCCCUAGUAAAGGAGUCGUACUAUUUUAGCGGUAGAUAAACUUAUGGCUUAUAUUUUUUUAUCCCUCCUUGGCUUUGAUUUCUGUUGAUGAUUGUAUUCGCAUAAUUUUCUUUGCCUGAUACUGACAAUACGUCGCUUUCCUAAGAAAAUUUGAUCAAGACAAAGUAUGUUCCUUAAGAAAUCAAUAUGGAAACAAGCAUUUUGUGUACUGUACAUUGGAGAUAAGCUUCAAGAGUAGUCAUUAACGCGUCUAGACCAUGUCCACUCGAAAACACACAAAACUGGUGAUUUCUGUAAAAUACAAUUCAAAAUAAAUAUUAGGUACACGCUUGAAAAUGGCAUCUUCCGGUGAUGACUAGUGACUACAAAUAAUUCUUUGUUUUAUUAAUAGAUGUUAGUAAUAGGAACUUAGUUACAGUCUUUCUUUGACCCAAAAAAAAAAGUUACAGUCUUUCUAGUAUUGGAUUUAAUUUGUGAUUAAACUUCCCCUUAAAAGCGUGUUUUCAGAUGAGAAAAUAAAAUAAUUAAAUUUUAGUUAUUAAUGAAUAACAUCUUUAAAUUUUUUGACUGAACUAGGAUUAGGUUUAAUCAUAUUUUGUCCGGUUCUCUUGACUCUUGGGUAUAUAAUGGCCUGAGCUUCUGAGCCUGAUGAUAUUAAAAUGUGUUUUAAACCCCAUAUUCUAGAGUCUAUAAAUACCAAUCACUUUUCAAGUCCUGUAAGAUAAAAAAUAAGAGAGAUAAAUGACUAAGAUGCCAAUAUCAUCGAAGCUCUAUGUGGUUAUGCUUCUCUCAUUCUUGGCGCUUUUCAUAAUCGCCCAUGCUCAAACCUUUUCUCCAGAUGGGAAGUUCUUUCAAGAUUCCCCGGCCCAAGCCUACACCGGUCCUUCGUACGCUCCUGUUCCUCCGAGUUGCUUCAAUCCACCUGGCUGCGGUCCAACGGAUAAAAGGAAAAGAAGAUUUCGCCAUCAAAGUUCCAAUUUGGCCACAUGAAUCUUGAGAGUUAAAAGCUUGCUCGCUGAUGUUUGUGCCUGUGUUUGUGGUGCCUUCUCAUUUGGUUUAGGUUAUCUAUGUAUAAAUACAUAUAUGGAACGUUUAUGAGAUCUAUGUUAUAAUAUGGUGCGAUUUUACCCUGAGGUUGAGGGAAAUAAGAUUCGAAUUGUGCGAUUUCAAUUACUGGUAAGUUGGUAACCACUAUAGUUUGUUAUGUAAAAUGUAUAUUGUCAAAACAAAAAAUGUAUGUUGUCAAUUAUCAUAAUGAUAUUUAUGUUUACUGUUCA